GUAGGCCGUGUCUCCCCUCCAGGGGCCCCGCUCCGCCGCGGGACGGUAGGUGGGUUGGCGUAGGCCGUGUCUCCCCUCCAGGGGCCCCGCUCCGCCGCGGGACGGUAGGUGGGUUGGCGUAGGCCGUGUCUCCCCUCCAGGGGCCCCGCUCCGCCGCGGGACGGUAGGUGGGUUGGCGUAGGCCGUGUCUCCCCUCCAGGGGCCCCGCUCCGCUGCGGGACGGUAGGUAGGUUGGCGUAGGCCGUGUCUCCCCUCCAGGGGCCCCGCUCCGCCGCGGGACGGUAGGUGGGUUGGCGUAGGCCGUGUCUCCCCUCCAGGGGCCCCGCUCCGCCGCGGGACGGUAGGUAGGUUGGCGUAGGCCGUGUCUCCCCUCCAGGGGCCCCGCUCCGCCGCGGGACGGUAGGUGGGUUGGCGUAGGCCGUGUCUCCCCUCCAUGGGCCCCGCUCCGCCGCGGGACGGUAGGUGGGUUGGCGUAGGCCGUGUCUCCCCUCCAGGGGCCCCGCUCCGCCGCGGGACGGUAGGUGGGUUGGCGUAGGCCGUGUCUCCCCUCCAGGGGCCCCGCUCCGCCGCGGGACGGUAGGUGGGUUGGCGUAGGCCGUGUCUCCCCUCCAGGGGCCCCGCUCCGCUGCGGGACGGUAGGUGGGUUGGCGUAGGCCGUGUCUCCCCUCCAGGGGCCCCGCUCCGCUGCGGGACGGUAGGUAGGUUGGCGUAGGCCGUGUCUCCCCUCCAGGGGCCCCGCUCCGCUGCGGGACGGUAGGUAGGUUGGCGUAGGCCGUGUCUCCCCUCCAUGGGCCCCGCUCCGCCGCGGGACGGUAGGUAGGUUGGCGUAGGCCGUGUCUCCCCUCCAUGGGCCCCGCUCUGCCGCGGGAUGGUACGUGGGUUGGCAUAGGCCGUGUCUCCCCUCCAUGGGCCCCGCUCCGCCGCGGGACGGUAGGUAGGUUGGCAUAGGCCGUGUCUCCCCUCCAUGGGCCCCGCUCCGCCGCGGGACGGUAGGUGGGUUGGCAUAGGCCGUGUCUCCCCUCCAUGGGCCCCGCUUCGCCGCGGGACAGUAGGUAGGUUGGCCACAAAGACACCCUUGGCAUGGGAGCCCUGAGGGAAUUCAGCUCUGACUGUGCCUUGUUCAGCACGCUGGCUCGCGUCCCCCUCGUAAAACGGCGUGUGUUCCACUUGGACGCUGCCGGUUUGUCCCUCUUGUAACUCUGUCUCUCUCCGGGCCCAAGGCCUGUUGCCAGAACAAGCCUAAAGCCGCAGAGCUUUCUGUGCCGCAAAUCCACCAGCUGUCACGGGCUGUAAGGCGAGGUCGGGGAUUUCACGCUGCAGGUUUUUUAUCCCAAGCUCUUCACGAGCUGUACUAGAAAACCCAGCACUGCUUCAGCUCUCCCGAGAAGGACGGCUCCUGGAAAAGCACCGGCAGCGUGAAGGGGAACCGGGUCGUUUCAGGAGCCUGCAAUUCAAAGUUUAUUUUAAUCGCAGGCUGUGUUUAAAGGUUUAUUUCCUCUGCCUGCUGAACCUCCGGGAGGGAUGUUUUCAUUCCUGUAUUUAGACUCUUCCCCCCCACCCCCGAAACGUUCCCAAGCCUGCAGCAACGAGCUCAGCCCGGUUUUGCCUUUGUUCAGAGCAGAGGAGGACUUAGCUUGGGGUGUGUCCGCGCUGCAGGUGCCAGGGUGUUGGAGGCCGUGGGAGGAACGGCGUCAGGUCGCCGUUCCUCUGGCGGGGAAAUGGGCAGUCCCUGAAAGGAGAGGCCAGGCCCUGGUGAGCUUUCAGUCACGUCAGAGUUCACAAGUGACAGCACUGUAACCUAGGCCCUACCGUGUAAAUUGCUUCCUUCUGCCUCUGCUGUCCAAGCUGGGAAGGGGCUCAAACGAACAGCCCCGGUCAUCCCGCCCCCUCUGGGGGAGCCACUCGGGAGUAGAACUGUGUGACUGGUGGGUGGAGUCAGGCUCAUUUGACAGAGGGGGGAAACUGAGGCGCAGACUGUGGGGCAGUGACAGAGCCCCGGCCGAACUUGGUUUGCGAACGGCGGGAGGGGGGCUUGCUCACACAGCCCUGCUAGUGGUCUAUACAGUCAUGACUGGAGUGGAGAAGGGGACGAGAGAAGUGUUAUUUACCCCUCACGCAACACACACACACCAGGGGUCACGCACCGAAGGAAUAGGCAGCUGGUUCCAUACAGAUAAGAGGAAGUGUGCAGCGCACAGUUAACCUGCGGAACUCCUUGCCACGGGAAGGUGUGGGGUCACCUGCCCUCCCGUCUCGCCCUGACCCUGGAGUUAGCUCGGCUGCAGCCCUGAGGCACGAGGGGUUGUGUGUCUGCCUUAGGUACACCUCUCCCUCCCAACGCUCUAAUGUAUUGAUCCUCCUGGGAGGCAGGGAGGGCCUAUGAUCCCCAUUGCACAGAUGGGGAAACCGAGGCAUGGAAAAGCAGCCUGCCUCACACAAAGUCACCCAGGGUGUCUGCUGGAGCAAGGGGAUUCCUACAUCCAGGUCUCCUGUGUCUCAGGCCCGCUAUAUCGUCCUUCCUUCAGCUAAGCCCUCACUUAGCAACAUACACCAGGGGGAAACUGAGGCACAAAGGGGCGUGACUUCCCUAAGGCUAUGACGUUCUCCCUGACGUCCCCUUGCUCUCCCCCGAAUCGCAGGGCCAGCUCCCAGCCGGUUGUGUUGGCAUAACAUGGUCGUUGCGCCAGCUGGAAAGCUGCCAGCCCCUUCUCACCGGCCCCCUGCCCUGUCUGCAAUAAUCGAAGCCAUUGAGACCUCGGCUGCGUUUCGGGUGGGCCCUGCCAGGCCAGCCUCAGUCCCAGCUGUGACCCAGAUCCCCUCUGUCGCUCAGCAGCGUGUGAGUCAAUUGUCUGCUGACUCCAGCUUUUCCUUCAGCUCAGCUAUGAGCAAACCCGGCUCCGGAUCCCGUGCCCAGAGCGCUGGGUGAGGGGCUGCGCUGCAACCUCCCUCGGCCGGCUGGGGCUUGUGUGCCGGGGCCAGGGGGCCUCUAGGAACACGAUAAGGACUCGGGCUCCAGCGUGCUCCAUCCUCUGUCUCUGCUGCAGCUGGAGAGCUAGACCCCGAGCCCCCGCCGUGGGGCACGAAACAGCAUCUCUCCCGUGCUACUGCUCAGUCCUUAGGACUGGAUCUGGUUCCAUCUGGACACGGGGCUGGCACCUGUUCCUGUGGGAGCCAAGAGCCCCACC